rnacentral:lncRNA from 1 species
AAUAAGCAACACUAGACUAGACUUAAGUCCAUUGUGCUGUUUGGUACAAGACUAUACUGGACUGCAUUGGACUUGAAUAUUUUUUAUAAUUUUUUUUUUUGUGUUUAUUCAAUAUAAAAAAUAAUUAAUUUUAUGAAAAAAACAUGCGCACAUAAUUUAAAGUGAGAAAGCCCCAUCACAUACUACUUAUUUGCUUUUACCCCACCACAGUAAAACAUGUCCAAAUAUAACAAAGUAAAAACUCACCAAUCCAAUCCGGAUUGGACCUAUGUCCAAUUAUUUGGACUCAUCUAGUCCAAUCUAGCCCACCAUGGGGUCAUAAUUCAUACUCUUAGAAAUGUUAGUUGAUAGAUGAUACUUUUUUUGUGUGUGGAGAAAUUCUAGGAUUGCAUUCAUAAUUUAGCAACAAAAAAAAAACCACUGGCCACAAAGGGCCAAUACAAACUAGCCAUGAAGGGUCAUUACAAUAACAGAGCGAUCUAACAUUAAAAGUAAGACAAUCAGAUGUUCCUCCCGUAACGAUCAGGCAUGAUUGAAAAAACUCUGGCGUAUGCAUCCCAACUAAGAUUGCAAACUCAAAAUAAUUAUAAAAAAAAGAUAAAACUUGAAAAAACUAAGGCAUAACAAUACAAAUAAAACUCUUACAAAGGAGAGAGGAAAAGCUCUCACAAAGGGGAGGUGGAAAGCUCUCACAAAAGGAGAGGUGAAAACUGCAUAGAGAACUCAAAGAGCCUUUGCGACUUAUUCCAAAUAUAAAGAAAUCACAAAAAGAAUGGUGGUGGAAAUCCAAUGCCGAAAUGCAUGUGGAGAUCCAACAAUGAGACGUAACUGCCUGUGAUGGUUGGAUAAAAAUCAUAACAAAACGAAGACAAAUAGAGGAAACCUUCUGUCUCUGCAAAUGAAGGAAGAGUAUAAAGGAGGAAGAGAAGAGGGGAAAGGGGAAGGGAGGAAGAACAGUGGCUUCCUCCCGCUCAAAGUGAAAAUGGAUGUAAGAGUGUUUUUUAGGAGAGAGAGAGGGGGCUAGAGUUUCUUUGGAGGUUUACGCACUCAUUGAUUGUUUGUUGAUAGAUGAUAUUUAAGCUGCAAAACUUCACUAAUACUAUAAUUAUUACUAGUUCUUUGGCACACGCUCCAAUUGAAUUUUUUUUUUUACUUGUGAUAUAUAACUUUUUUUUAAUAUUCAACAGGUUUGAAGGUAGUUAUUUUUUUAUUUAUGGACAACUGUAGUACUG